GAUGAACGCUGGCGGCGUGCCUAAUACAUGCAAGUCGAGCGAACGGACGAGAAGCUUGCUUCUCUGAUGCUAGCGGCGGACGGGUGAGUAACACGUGGAUAACCUACCUAUAAGACUGGGAUAACUUCGGGAAACCGUAGCUAAUACCGGAUAAUAUUUUGAACCGCAUGGUUCAAAAGUGAAAGACGGUCUUGCUGUCACUUAUAGAUGGAUCCGCGCUGCAUUAGCUAGUUGGUAAGGUAACGGCUUACCAAGGCAACGAUGCAUAGCCGACCUGAGAGGGUGAUCGGCCACACUGGAACUGAGACACGGUCCAGACUCCUACGGGAGGCAGCAGUAGGGAAUCUUCCGCAAUGGGCGAAAGCCUGACGGAGCAACGCCGCGUGAGUGAUGAAGGUCUUCGGAUCGUAAAACUCUGUUAUUAGGGAAGAACAUAUGUGUAAGUAACUGUGCACAUCUUGACGGUACCUAAUCAGAAAGCCACGGCUAACUACGUGCCAGCAGCCGCGGUAAUACGUAGGUGGCAAGCGUUAUCCGGAAUUAUUGGGCGUAAAGCGCGCGUAGGCGGUUUUUUAAGUCUGAUGUGAAAGCCCACGGCUCAACCGUGGAGGGUCAUUGGAAACUGGAAAACUUGAGUGCAGAAGAGGAAAGUGGAAUUCCAUGUGUAGCGGUGAAAUGCGCAGAGAUAUGGAGGAACACCAGUGGCGAAGGCGACUUUCUGGUCUGUAACUGACGCUGAUGUGCGAAAGCGUGGGGAUCAAACAGGAUUAGAUACCCUGGUAGUCCACGCCGUAAACGAUGAGUGCUAAGUGUUAGGGGGUUUCCGCCCCUUAGUGCUGCAGCUAACGCAUUAAGCACUCCGCCUGGGGAGUACGACCGCAAGGUUGAAACUCAAAGGAAUUGACGGGGACCCGCACAAGCGGUGGAGCAUGUGGUUUAAUUCGAAGCAACGCGAAGAACCUUACCAAAUCUUGACAUCCUUUGACAACUCUAGAGAUAGAGCCUUCCCCUUCGGGGGACAAAGUGACAGGUGGUGCAUGGUUGUCGUCAGCUCGUGUCGUGAGAUGUUGGGUUAAGUCCCGCAACGAGCGCAACCCUUAAGCUUAGUUGCCAUCAUUAAGUUGGGCACUCUAAGUUGACUGCCGGUGACAAACCGGAGGAAGGUGGGGAUGACGUCAAAUCAUCAUGCCCCUUAUGAUUUGGGCUACACACGUGCUACAAUGGACAAUACAAAGGGCAGCGAAACCGCGAGGUCAAGCAAAUCCCAUAAAGUUGUUCUCAGUUCGGAUUGUAGUCUGCAACUCGACUACAUGAAGCUGGAAUCGCUAGUAAUCGUAGAUCAGCAUGCUACGGUGAAUACGUUCCCGGGUCU
rnacentral:rRNA from 1 species